AUCGCUUCUCGGCCUUUUGGCUAAGAUCAAAGUGUAGUAUCUGUUCUUAUCAGCUUAAUAUCUGAUACGCCCGCUUCUAUUUCUUGUCGAUUGCUCAAUGCUCUAUGCUGGCGACUUUCUUUUCUGUUUGUUUUUUAAAUGUGAGAGAACAAAAUUGUAGUUCUUCUUGAUAGCUGUCAAUGAAAU
rnacentral:snRNA from 1 species